rnacentral:rRNA from 1 species
CAGUAGCCGCGGUAAAACGUAGGUGGCAAGCGUUGUCCGGAAUUAUUGGGCGUAAAGGGCUCGCAGGCGGUUUCUUAAGUCUGAUGUGAAAGCCCCCGGCUCAACCGGGGAGGGUCAUUGGAAACUGGGAAACUUGAGUACAGAAGAGGAGAGUGGAAUUCCACGUGUAGCGGUGAAAUGCGUAGAGAUGUGGAGGAACACCAGUGGCGAAGGCGACUCUCUGGUCUGUAACUGACGCUGAGGAGCGAAAGCGUGGGGAGCGAACAGGGUUAGAUACCCGGGUAGUCCCUGUCUCUUAUAC